GACGAAGAACGUAGCGAAAUGCGAUAAGUAAUGUGAAUUGCAGAAUUCCGUGAAUCAUCGAAUCUUUGAACGCACAUUGCGCCCCCUGGCAUUCCGGGGGGCAUGCCUGUCCGAGCGUCAUUUCUGCCCUCCAGCCCGGCUGGGUGUUGGGCGCUGUCCCCCCGGGGACACGCCCCAAAGGCAGUGGCGGCGCCGCGUCGGGUCCUCGAGCGUAUGGGGCUUUGUCACCCGCUCGGGACGGACUCGUCGGCGCUGGUCUUCCUCCAGGCGACCCUUCGGGGCUCGUCUUCCUUCGGUUGACCUCGGAUCAGGUAGGGUUACCCGCUGAACUUAAGCAUAUCAAUAAGCGGAGGA
rnacentral:misc_RNA from 1 species